rnacentral:rRNA from 1 species
GAUCCUGGCUCAGAUUGAACGCUGGCGGCGUGCUUAACACAUGCAAGUCGAACGCGAAAGUGGCUUCGGCCACGAGUAGAGUGGCGCACGGGUGAGUAACGCGUGGAUAAUCUGCCUCUGCAAUCGGAAUAACGACUGGAAACGGUCGCUAAUACCGGAUACGCUUAAGUUUUACCUCUUAAGGAAAGAUGACCUCUAUUUAUAAGUUAUCGUGCAGAGAUGAGUCCGCGUCCCAUUAG